rnacentral:tRNA from 1 species
GCCGAAGUGGCGGAACUGGUAGNNAGGUUCAGGGUCUAGUGGGGGUUUCUCCGUGGGAGUUCGACUCUCCCCUUCGGCACCA